AAAACGGACAGAGCAUCACUUCGGGGCAAGCAAGCAACCAUGCCAGCAGAAAUAGAAGACACAGCAAUGAAUGACAUCCACUGGAAAGCAUUUAAACAGUUUUCAACAGGGACACAGAAUGGCAGCUAAUCACUGAUUGUAGUGGCAACACUGAUUCAAGGCUCACCAGGACUCAAAAGAAGAAAGGAC
rnacentral:lncRNA from 1 species